rnacentral:misc_RNA from 1 species
UCGUACAACCGAGGUGCAAGGGCUGUCGCUGACCUUUGAAGGUCGUGCACGCCCGAGCGCUCUCGCCACAAUCCAUCUCACUCACCCCUUUGUGCAUCACCGCGUGGGGUCCCCCUUUGCGGGGAGGGCUCGCGUUUUCACACAAAACUUGAUACAGUCUAGAAUGUUUAUUUUUGCGGUAACACGCAAUCAAUA